UACGAAGGGACUAGCGUUGUUCGGAUUUACUGGGCGUAAAGCGUGCGCAGGCGGUUAUGCAAGACAGAUGUGAAAAUCCCGGGCUUAACCUGGGAACUGCAUUUGUGACUGCAUAGCUAGAGUACGGUAGAGGGGAUGGAAUUCCGCGUGUAGCAGUGAAAUGCGUAGAUAUGCGGAGGAACAGCCGAUGGCGAAGGCAGUCCCUGGACCUGUACUGACG
rnacentral:rRNA from 1 species